GGGUGGCUCUGGGGCUUGUUGUGUGGGUAACACCUGCCCCAGGAGCCCAGCCCUGAUUUCCAGCAGGAGGCAUUGCCCUGCCCGGUCACUGGGGACCUUCCAGCCUCCCCAGGGCAGAAGGUGGAGGAUCUCUGUCCCAGCACCAGCAGCUCGGCCCGCUCCCCAUGGGACAGCAGCAGCGCCUGGGACUCGGGCAGCAGCAAGGCCAAUGGGCACCGCUGCUUUGUUCCAGGGACCCCUAGGGACUCCAAGGAGGAGGAGGAGGAAUGGGUGGACGUGGCCACAGAGGAGGCUGCUCUCAAAAACAUCUGAGAGCGGCUCCAGGGCCAAGAAAAGAAUGAGGCCCAGCAGCUCAUGUUCCUGCACGCCACCCACCCCGCGUGUCUCGCUGCACAACGGAGGGGGCAGGACACAUUGGAGCCGCAGUGCUGCAAGGCGGCUGUGGUGGAGAGGAUUGUGGUGAGCGAGACACCGUGCCUGGCAGCUGGAGGGAGGACAGAGACAUGGGAGGGGCAGGGGUCUUCCCGGGCCAAUGAAUGGGGGAUGACUGGUGCUGGAGGGGCAGCUGAGGGCAGGGAUUGCUGGGGCUGAAGAUUGGGGAGAAGAGACG